UCCUGGCUCAGGAUGAACGCUAGCUACAGGCUUAACACAUGCAAGUCGAGGGGCAGCAGGAUUUGUGCUUGCACAAAUUGCUGGCGACCGGCGCACGGGUGCGUAACACGUAUCCAACUACCCAUGGCCCGGGGAUAGCCUUCCGAAAGGAAGAUUAAUACCCGAUGGUCUCAUUUCAGGACAUCCUGUUAUGAGUAAAGAUUCAUCGGCGUUGGAUGGGGAUGCGUCCGAUUAGCUUGUUGGCGGGGCAACGGCCCACCAAGGCUUCGAUCGGUAGGGCUCUGAGAGGAGGGUCCCCCACACUGGAACUGAGACACGGUCCAGACUCCUACGGGAGGCAGCAGUGAGGAAUAUUGGUCAAUGGGCGAGAGCCUGAACCAGCCAAGUAGCGUGAGGGACGACGGCCCUACGGGUUGUAAACCUCUUUUGUUUGGGAAUAAAGUGCCGCACGCGUGCGGUUUUGUAUGUACCUUACGAAUAAGCAUCGGCUAAUUCCGUGCC
rnacentral:rRNA from 1 species